rnacentral:rRNA from 1 species
UCGGGGUGCAGCAGGCGCGAAAACUUCACAAUGGGGGCAACCCCGAUGAGGGAAUUCCUAGUGCUAGCACAAUUGUGUUAGCUUUUCUUCAGCAUAGAACACUGAAGGAAUAAGGGCUGGGUAAGACGGGUGCCAGCCGCCGCGGUAAUACCUGCAGCCCAAGUGGUGGUCGAUUUUAUUGAGUCUAAAACGUUCGUAGCCGGUUCGGUAAAUCUUUGGGUAAAUCGGGGGGCUUAACUUUCCGACUUCCGAGGAGACUGCCGAACUUGGGACCGGGAGAGGCAAGAGGUACUUCUGGGGUAGGGGUAAAAUCCUGUAAUCCUAGAAGGACCACCGGUGGCGAAGGCGUCUUGCUAGAACGGAUCCGACGGUGAGGGACGAAGCCCUAGGUCGCAAACGGGAUUAGAUACCCCGGUAGUCUAGGGUGUAAACGCUGCAGACUUGGUGUUGGAGGCCCUUCGGGGGGCAUUUCAGUGCCCGGAGAGAAGUUUGUUUAAAGCUCCUGCCUACUUUUGGGGAGUACGUCCGCAAGGAUGAAACUUAAAGGAAUUGGCGGGGGAGCACCGCAAACGGGAGGAGCGUGCGGUUUAAUUGGAUUAAACACCGGAAAACUCACCAGGGAAGACUGUUACAUGAAGGCCGGGCUAAAGACUCUGCCAGAUUUUCAGAGAGGUGGUGCAUGGCCGUCGUCAGUUCGUACCGUAAGGCGUUCUCUUAAGUGAGAUAACGAACGAGACCCUCACCAAUAGCUGCUACUUAUUCCUCCGGGGGUAAGGCACAUUAUUGGGACCGCUGGCGCUAAGUCAGAUGAAGGCGAGGUCAACGGUAGGUCAGUAUGCCCCGAAUUUCCUGGGCUACACGCGCGCUACAAAGGGCGGGACAAUGAGUUCUCACACCGAAAGGUGCAAGUAAUCUCGAAACCCGUCCGUAGUUCGGAUUGAGGGUUGUAACUCACCCUCAUGAAGCUGGAUUCCGUAGUAAUCGCGAAUCAACAACUCGCGGUGAAUAUGCCCCUGCUCCUUGCACACACCGCCCGUCAAACCAUCCGAGUUGGGUUUCAGUGAGGUUACCUUUGAUUGGGGUAUUCGAACUGAGAUUUAGCAAGGAAGGUUAAGUCGUAACAAGGUAUCCGUA